rnacentral:ncRNA from 1 species
UUCUUGUCUCAAAAAUUAAGCCAUGCAAGUAUUACUACACACAGCUGGUACAGUGAAACUGCGAAUGGAUAAUUUAAAUCAGUUAUAUUUCCUUUGAUUGCUCCAACAUUACUUGGAUGACUGCAGCAAUUCUAGAGCUAAAUCAAACCAACAAGUGCUGACCUUUGGGGAUGCGUGCAUUCAGUCAGACCCAAAACCCAUGCAGGGUAGUCUCGGGCACCACGAACGCUUUUCGAUCGUACUUUCUGGGCCUACCAUGGUGACCACGGGUAACAGUGAGUCAGGGUUCGAUUUUGGGGAGGGAGCCUGAGAAACGGCAACCAAAAUCCAAGGAAGGUAGCAGGUGCCUAAAUGAGCCACUCCCGACUCGGGAAGGUAGUGAUGAAAAGUUACAAUACAGGACUCUUUCGAAGCCCUUCAAUUGGAAUGAGUACACUUGAAAUCCUUUAAUGAGGAUCCAGACACUUCUAAACAUCAGUAAUGGUGUAAUUUAUUUAUAGAA